UUCAAUCUGGAAACACAGACGGGAGCCAAAGUACAGCAACGGGACGGCUGAAUUCAGAAGUAGCGCAAUCAAAAGAGAUCAGUACAAGCAGUAGAAAAUUAUGUUACUUUAUGUCUUUCGAAUGGACUUUGCCCCCCCUGCUGUCAUACGGCUCGACGCAUUUUAAAUGCCGUUAUGAGAAAGGAUUGUUGUCAGUGGGAGGGACGGAUAGCGUGGCGUAUUCAGGAUGCGUGAAACAAUGUGUGCAUUGCCUUGAUCCAAUAUGAAAAUGAGAUCCCGCGUGAGCAAACCAUGUGACCAGAGGUGGAAGACCGAGCCCAUCUGUUUGGGUGGGGAAGCAGGAGGAGGCCUAUGAGUGAGAAACUGGGAACAGGUGAGGUGAGUGACACUCGUUCAAGUAAAACACACCCCCCCCCCCGCCUAACCAGCCCAUCAAACCGACGCGCUGCCCGGUCACCCAGAACCAGUCGCGAUUAAAGAGAAGGCCAGGGGUGGGGGGCUGACGUACUCAUCCGUCUUGCUGCGCCUUCUGUGAAAGAGGUCUUUUUAUAAACAAAGUGAGGUCUGUACACGGCCGUGUAGGAGGUCUGGACGUGUUCACACCAUUCAUCCUUUCAUUCAAACCGCAGACAUUUUUCACACAGGACUGACAUGUUUUAUGUUACUUCGCCUUUUCUUCCAUUCAUCCACGCUGCGGACCUUUUUCUUACGUGGAACGGAUUCCAUGUCUUAUGCCGCAGUGUAACAGAUUUUACGGAAAUGGAUGUGGGGAACAAGGUGAAUUUCACGCUCUGCAGCGGGGAUGAUGAUGGAUGGGUGUGGAGCACAGUCCUUAUUCAGCACGCUGCCGUGUUUUAAGGCGCUAUUUAGGUCUGCCGGUGAACGAAGAGCCGGUACCGCGGAUCUCUGAUGGUAGAACGCAGGGCUUCGCUACCGAUGACAUCUGGAAUACAAGAGCGUUGAAUGUAUCUUUGGCUUGUGGCCCAAAUGAAGGUCCUUUGAGAACGUGACCUUCGCAGGCAUAAUUCCCCCGGAAUCAGCUUAAAUGCUACUAUUAUAUGUAGCACCUGGUUUGAUUCAUAAAGACGGAAGGCCUCUCAACAGGAACCACCAGGGGGCGCUCUCAUCCAUUGUGGGAUGACUGAUUUUCAAACCAUAGAAUUUCAGCACUCUUAUCCAAUGUGGAAAACCCAGGUUGAUGUGAUGUGAAAAAGGUUCAGUGUAAGGUACUGAGGCAGUGAAGCCGGCACACGAUUGGACGUGGUCUAAUAAAACGAUGCUUCCGUGUAUGAAAGCGGAACAGUGCUCCCCAUUCCUGUUUUAAUUGUGAUAUUUCGCCUGGGUUAGUCAGUUCAGUCCAGAAUGAGGCAUUCAAGCGGGGAACUUUGCGUUUCUCUCAACCAGACCUUUUUCCCGGGCCUCUUUCCGCACCCCUGACCGAUCGCUCUAAGGUUCAAUUAUUUUCGAAAAUUGGCACGAUCUGCAACGGUUUCCCCAUAGACUUAUUUGGGAAAUCCAUACAUUUUCUUAUUGCACAUGAAAACAUGAGGAUAAAGUACUGACCGGCGUUCAUCUUCCGGGAGCUCGUCCUGGUCGCGUUUGCAGGGAGAGUAAAACUGUAUGAAGGAGAUAAGCCACAUGAAUACGCAGAUCGAAAAAGAAAAUACUUGUACUUCCCCUGUAUCGUACCAUGCACUGCCAAAAGAACUAGCAUAUGACAAGCAUGUUACUGUAUGAAAUCCAUCCCGCUCGUUCAAGUAAAACAGCCCCCCCCCUCACCCACCACCACUGAAAUCCCGAUCGGAGUCGGAGGGGAGGGGAGAGGUAGGGUAGCGCCUAUCCCAGGCUGUUAGAUUACAUCCUGGACGCAAUGCCAGUUAUACAAGCGCAUUGGCAAAAAUAUUUAAACAACAUUUUAAUAGCGUUGCGGUUGGUGUUCAGGAUUCUUUGGCACAAUUUCAUACGAUAAUGUAACAGUUGUCUUACAUGUCAGUUGUAUUAAUUUUUUUAUGCUUUACUUAAGAUGAACAAAGUCGCCUGGCUCCUUUACAAGAUGGUACACGUGCUUUAUGCUCUAAAUGACACACGUCAUUAAAACAAACAUUUUUUUAUUAUGUGCCAGAACAGGUUGCUGUCACAUUAGCUAGUCGUCUACCUGGCAGCGUUUGACAUUUCAGGUCUGAAAACUCCAAAUCCAGACCAGGAUUUUAUUUCUACCAAUCAGUUGAGUAUAAAGAGUCACAGUCAGAGUGAUCAACUGAUUAGUAGGAACAAAACCUCCCGGUUUUGCAGCGUCUGGACCUGAAAAGGCCAACACUGCUAACUGGUGUCUUUGCAUUUAUCUAACAUGUCCUUUUCUCGAGUAGAGUGGGUGGGUGCAUCGAAGACGGCCUUUUGCUUAUUGGUUUAACUCCGAUGCCACAAACAAUCCUGUUUACCAGUCACCUGUGGUUCCGGGUGUCAACACGACUGAACUAGUCUGUUCCCAAGAGCGAACAUAGCAAAAUAUGUUCAUUUUCCUUUCACUUUUAUUCCUCAGAAGGUGACGUGUCCCCAGAACACCUCGUGAAGGAAGCAUGAAAUCGCCUUUUAUUCUGCCUCAAACAGGUGUCACCUUUUGUAGAUGUGAUGCAGGCAUUCAAAAAAAAUAAAUAAAUCAAAACUGCAGGAUCUCACAUGGGUUCCUCAGCGAGGGCCUGGAUGCAAACUGGAGUGCACCAAGAAGACCAAGGUACUGUAAGUAAGAAUGGAAGUCGCACCUUCAGGCCUUCUAGAAUUCCGGCCUGAUAAUCACAAGCAGCAGCAGUGCGUUCAGACUGCACUUGUUUAUGAGUUUUGGCAGACCAGACACCUGGCAUUUCAGGAGGAGUUCGGUCUGGAGCCAUGUUAGGGCAUCCGGCGGAAUGCUUAGUGCAGGAAGGGGAAAAUGCUAUGUGUAUAGGAGAUGUUUGCUCUGAAGUCUGUUUGUAUUUGUUAAAUACAGUCCCCCUCCCCAACACACACACACCCAUGUAUGCAUAGACAUUUCCCUUUGAGUCAUUUCAGUUACUUGAAGCUUGCAAAUGAUCAGACAGACUUUACUAAUCCCAGAGGAAACUUCUACUUCCCAGCAGCUCCAUACCACAGUGGUACAGACGUAAAAGGUUGAAAAACACACAGAAGACUGUAGACGUGCAUUAAAACGGAGCUACUGCGUAUUCAACGUGCUGUAUAGAUGGUUUCGAAAGCAGAGAUUGAAAACAAAGGAAUCCACAAUCUAGUCCAUGUUUUUCCCAUCCCCAUAUAUGUACAGUAUACCUACUUAUGAGAUAUAUUUUUUCAGGUUCCAUAGAGGUUAGAGGGUUAGCCUUGUAAGCUAAGGUACAAGCCACUGGAAAAAGCUUUGCAGAAUUCCCUGUGAAUCAGAAGAGCCCAGAGCCUCGCAUCUUAAGCUGGGUGUGCUUCUCGUCCAUUACUCCAGCUGAAAGAGCUCUUGACGUUACACUGGAAGCAAUAACUUAUUGCGUGUUAUUGCAUAAUAAAUCACAACUCGCCUGACCCUAGAACAAUGCUUAUCUUUAUAGGUCUUCUCGAGUGAAUUGCUUUCCAUGCCAUUUGCAUUAUUUGUUAAACAUGUCUUGUGUUUAUGGGCAGAUAAAUGAUACGACGACUGGCUAAUUAACUGUCAUGCAGAUAAACCGUGUUUUGUGCAACGUGAGCUGGUAGCUGAGCGGCAACAGUCCCGUACCUGUAAUCAAACUUCUCUCAUUCCAGAAACACAAUUACAAAAGGAUGACGGAUACACGCAACAGAUGUACUAGACAGCUGUUUUUUUAAAGCUGACUGCGAAGAACAGGGGAAUAAUGGUGAAAGCAAAUACCAGUUGAACACUCCUGUUGAUAUUGUCAGUAUCUGCUGCAAAUUUCAAAGUAAUUCUGUAAAUUGAUUAAAUAAUAUUUACUGCCAUACUUGUUCUACUGUUUUUGUAUUCAGGCAAUAUUUAUUUUGUUUAAUUAUGCAUAUCUGGUAGCACUUUACUUGAGAGGACACAAAUAAUGUAGUACUACACUUCCAAUGUAUUAACCGGAAACUAAGGCCUUGUCCAUGGGUGUUUAAAAACGGUGUUUUCUCUUCUCAGUCAUUAAAGAAAAAGAUCCCUCUGCACAGACGCUGUUUUUUUAAAAAAAAUCUCCGUCCACAUGGAAACACUAAAAGCAAGCUGUGAAAAGCAAACUCGUCUAACGUAAACGGCAAACAGCGCACACUCCGACGUCAAACGAAGCAGGUGACGACACACACUUCCAAAAAUCUCCACCUUGGACAGAGUUUUGCGAAGCUCCGUUUUCAGUGACCUACAAUGCAUUCGUUUCGGACAAAAGACCGGAACGCAUAGAAAAAGCUACGUUUUUAAAAAUACCCGUGUGAGUGUGGACAAGGUCUAAGUGUUAGUUACCCAUUGAUCCCAUGUUUGUUCAUCAUUAAUCAAUGAUAACGGUUCAUGUAUUUAAUGCAGUUACUAUACUUCAUCCAUACUUGAGUGAAAAGUUACUUAAGUACUAAAAAGUUAAGUACUAAGUUACUUAAGCAAAGUCUUACUGCAUAUUCUAAUUGGUUCUUUUAAGAUGUUUUGUGUUUAUAGCAUAUUUCUGAGGUUUAACGGUUUAAUAACGUUAUCCUUGCUAUUAAUGAUAACCAGUGUGGAUACGCACAAUGUUACCGACUUGAUCAGAAAUCACCUUGCCCAAUCGAGCGCAUCCAGCACCUGAGAAGAUUAAAUUCACAAGUUUCAGUCCAGCUCUUCCCACGAUUCGGCGCAUCUCUUUACAGCCACGCAGAGUUCGCUUCAGUGAACAUUCAACGCUGUCGGUGAGUUUUGGGGUAAACUGAAAAAACCAUCGACCGUUGACUGUGCCCUGCAGCCUGCCCUGUCCUCCUCCCGCAUGGCCCGCGCCUCCGGCCAUCAUGCCAGGAGAUGAGACUCACAAGAACGUUCGACUGCACGUUUCCCCAUUUUCAUUUAUUUAUUUAUUUAUUUUUUAAUCCUUGGUCUCGGUCUCCUCCGUUUCCCCGAACGACUUCGAGCAAAGGUCACAAUCAACAUUCAUUGCUGUCGGUGGGUUUAACUGUGUAGAAAAGCUCACUGAACAAUGAAUGCAACUGUGCCCCAGAUUUCCUCAGCUACCGUCAGAAUCAGUAUCAGUCGUGGAUGUGGUGCGGUUUUUUUUUUUCCCCCUCCUUUGUUCACAAAUCUGGAUUUCUACGAGAGACACAAAUAGACUGGGCAGUGCAGGCCACAUCUUCAUCGCCUUAAUUGGAGGUUCUGUGUGCAGCCAAAGGAGAGAAAUAAAGGCUGAGUGUGUAAUCAUACUGAUUCCCCUCUCAUUUUGUUUUUUUUGUCUUUCCUUUAAAUUACACGCUGUCUUUCCUUGAGGUCAGAAUGAUCUUACACUGCCUGCAAUCAGCGUAGCCUCGUCAAAAGCGGCUGCCCGUUUUUAUCCAGCGAUUAGAAUCCACAGUUAACAUGUUUCCUAAUCUUUACACACUUACAAGGUGUUGCUCAGAAUCCACGUUUCAGUCCGUUACACUGUAACCGAAUAUUUUGUUUAGAUAUGUAUAUGUUUGUGUUGUGCUUCAUCUUUUUUUAUAGUAAACACUUUCUAAAAGUU